UACAUAUACUGUAUUUGUUAGACUUCAGCCGAUAAGAUAAAACUUAAGAUAUUAUGGAGCAAAAUUAAAGUUCAUAGUGAUUUCUAGGGACUUUAUAACUAAAGGGAAGACCGGAUUUCUAUGUUACAAAAUACAAAACAGAUUCCCGCUUUCAUUUAGGUUUCAUUUAGCAGCAAGCGGACCUACUAACUAGAUGAAUUCAUCUGGAAUUAACAGAUGAAGUUAACGCACCAUGGCAACACCUACAAAAGUUACAUACAUGGCAACUACUCUAAGCAGACAUGGCGUGUAUGAAACAGAACACCUAUGUUAUAACGACUGUUGUUGCGCAGACAUGCAUGGAUAAAUCAGUUACAUUUAUUCAGUACAGUUGAAUCCACAACAAUUGUGAAUUAGUGACAACAAUUGCUGUAUUUAAAACCUUCAUACCUGCUUCUUUAGAAUGCUUGAAUUUACUGAAUAAAUUCAGUCGAACACAAA